rnacentral:lncRNA from 1 species
UUCAAAUCUCUUAAAUUUGGAUUCCCAGGUUACCUACAGAAAUGAUGUCGAACUUGAGAUGAUUUCACGGACUCAAGGACACCUUCAUUGGUCUUCCCAAAUUUGGAGUGCACUCUUAACCCUUUCUUUGACCACUUUCUCACACCUAAAGCUGUUUAAUAGGAGCAGCACUUUCAACUAUCAGAGGUGAACAUCCUGAUGGAGGGCAACAAAAGUCAGGGGUGUGGGUUCUCCAAAAGGGGCAUGACAUCUUAUGCAUUUUGACCAUUCCAAGAUUCUGUAGGACUUUUGCCAGAGGUACAAAGAAGGAAACAGACAAACAGGAAAUUUAAAUCUCUCAAAUGGUAUUAUUUGUUUGCCUCUUUUAUAAAAUUAUGGAGAUCGGAGAUUGAAGAUUAUGCUUGCAA